GGCAAUAUGCAUAUCAAAACACAAGUUAACAAAUAUACCACAAAUACUGAUCUUCCCCACUUGCCACUUAUACGCAGCAAGACAAUGAGGACUGAGUGCACUGCUCUUUGCAUUGUCCUGGUGAUUAUGUCUUCAACCCUCUCAUCCUGCUAUCCUAGUAAGUAUAUAACUUCUUUUGUACCUACAAUGAUUCCACUGAAGCAUGAUUAUGUCUUCAACCCUCUCAUCCUGCUACCCUGGAUGCAUGCAGCUCUUGUACUUAAUUUCCAUUUACAUCGAUGCACUGAAGCGCGUUGCCAAACGAAGUGCUUGGACUAUGCCAAUAAGUAUCAUCUAGGGGUAAAGAACUCCCAAUGUUACAAGGCGAAUCUUUGCCACUGUGAAUGUUCUGCAAAGAACCAUCUGCCGCAUACCACCGAAAUCAUGGGAUUAGCUGAUGCAGAGGAUGAUAAUGGAUGAUGUUUUGUUUGAAUAUAAUAUACUGAAUUAAAAUUGUCACCAACAAUGGAUAUUGAGGUUACAGGGAGGCAAACAAUGCCAUUAUGCUAGCCCUUGCAUGUACUUUAUCCGGCUUGUUUCAAUACAAUUAUAAUAAAAUGAUUGUGCAUCUUUCCCUAUACUUUUGUUCCACUCAAUGUAUUGGAUCCAUUGUUUUGGUUAC
rnacentral:lncRNA from 1 species